GACGAACGCUGGCGGCGUGCUUAACACAUGCAAGUCGAACGGAAAGGCCCUGCUUUUGUGGGGUGCUCGAGUGGCGAACGGGUGAGUAACACGUGAGUAACCUGCCCUUGUCUUUGGGAUAACAUCAGGAAACUGGGGCGAAUACCGGAUAGGAGAUCCUGCUGCAUGUUGGGGGUUGGAAAGUUUCGGCGGUUGUGGAUGGACUCGCGGCUUAUCAGCUUGUUGGUGGGGUAGUGGCUUACCAAGGCUUUGACGGGUAGCCGGCCUGAGAGGGUGACCGGCCACAUUGGUACUGAGAUACGGCCCAGACUCCUACGGGAGGCAGCAGUGGGGAACAUUGCACAGUGGGCGGAAGCCUGAUGCAGCAACGCCCCGUGCGGGAUGACGGCCUUCGGGUUGUAAACCGCUUUCGCCUGUGACGAAGCGUGAGUGACGGUAAUGGGUAAAGAAGCACCGGCUAACUACGUG
rnacentral:rRNA from 1 species